rnacentral:rRNA from 1 species
GUGGGGAAUAUUGGGCAAUGGGCGAAAGCCUGACCCAGCAACGCCGCGUGAAGGAAGAAGGUUUUCGGAUCGUAAACUUCUAUCCUUGGUGAAGAUAAUGACGGUAGCCGAGAAGGAAGCCCCGGCUAACUACGUGCCAGCAGCCGCGGUAAUACGUAGGGGGCAAGCGUUGUCCGGAAUGAUUGGGCGUAAAGGGCGCGUAGGCGGCCUGGUAAGUCUGGAGUGAAAGUCCUGCUUUUAAGGUAGGAAUUGCUUUGGAUACUGUCGGGCUUGAGUGCAGGAGAGGUAAGUGGAAUUCCCGGUGUAGCGGUGAAAUGCGUAGAGAUCGGGAGGAACACCAGUGGCGAAGGCGACUUACUGGACUGUAACUGACGCUGAGGCGCGAAAGUGUGGGGAGCAAACAGGAUUAGAUACCCUGGUAGUCC